rnacentral:rRNA from 1 species
GACGAACGCUGGCGGCGUGCUUAACACAUGCAAGUCGAACGGUAAGGCUCCAGCUUGCUGGGGUACACGAGUGGCGAACGGGUGAGUAACACGUGGGUGACCUGCCCUGCACUUCGGGAUAAGCCUGGGAAACUGGGUCUAAUACCGGAUAGGACCGCACCGUGAGGGUGUGGUGGAAAGUUUUUUCGGUGUGGGAUGGGCCCGCGGCCUAUCAGCUUGUUGGUGGGGUAAUGGCCUACCAAGGCGGCGACGGGUAGCCGGCCUGAGAGGGUGGACGGCCACAUUGGGACUGAGACACGGCCCAGACUCCUACGGGAGGCAGCAGUGGGGAAUAUUGCACAAUGGGCGGAAGCCUGAUGCAGCGACGCCGCGUGGGGGAUGACGGCCUUCGGGUUGUAAACUCCUUUCACCAUCGACGAAGGGUUUCUGACGGUAGAUGGAGAAGAAGCACCGGCUAACUACGUGCCAGCAGCCGCGGUAAUACGUAGGGUGCGAGCGUUGUCCGGAAUUACUGGGCGUAAAGAGCUCGUAGGUGGUUUGUCGCGUCGUCUGUGAAAUUCCGGGGCUUAACUCCGGGCGUGCAGGCGAUACGGGCAUAACUUGAGUACUGUAGGGGAGACUGGAAUUCCUGGUGUAGCGGUGAAAUGCGCAGAUAUCAGGAGGAACACCGGUGGCGAAGGCGGGUCUCUGGGCAGUAACUGACGCUGAGGAGCGAAAGCAUGGGGAGCGAACAGGAUUAGAUACCCUGGUAGUUCAUGCCGUAAACGGUGGGCGCUAGGUGUGGGUUUCCUUCCACGGGAUCCGUGCCGUAGCUAACGCAUUAAGCGCCCCGCCUGGGGAGUACGGCCGCAAGGCUAAAACUCAAAGGAAUUGACGGGGGCCCGCACAAGCGGCGGAGCAUGUGGAUUAAUUCGAUGCAACGCGAGGAACCUUACCUGGGCUUGACAUAUACAGGAUCGCGCCAGAGAUGGUGUUUCCCUUGUGGCUUGUAUACAGGUGGUGCAUGGUUGUCGUCAGCUCGUGUCGUGAGAUGUUGGGUUAAGUCCCGCAACGAGCGCAACCCUUGUCUUAUGUUGCCAGCACGUUGUGGUGGGGACUCGUAAGAAACUGCCGGGGUUAACUCGGAGGAAGGUGGGGAUGACGUCAAAUCAUCAUGCCCCUUACGCCCAGGGCUUCACACAUGCUACAAUGGUCGGUACUGUGGGUUGCCAGUCCGUGAGGGCGAGCUAAUCCCGCAAAGCCGGUCUCAGUUCGGAUCGGGGUCUGCAACUCGACCCCGUGAAGUCGGAGUCGCUAGUAAUCGCAGAUCAGCAACGCUGCGGUGAAUACGUUCCCGGGCCU